rnacentral:rRNA from 1 species
GAUGAACGCUGGCGGCGUGCCUAAUACAUGCAAGUCGAGCGAACGGACGAGAAGCUUGCUUCUCUGAUGUUAGCGGCGGACGGGUGAGUAACACGUGGAUAACCUACCUAUAAGACUGGGAUAACUUCGGGAAACCGGAGCUAAUACCGGAUAAUAUUUUGAACCGCAUGGUUCAAAAGUAAAAGACGGUCUUGCUGUCACUUAUAGAUGGAUCCGCGCUGCAUUAGCUAGUUGGUAAGGUAACGGCUUACCAAGGCAACGAUGCAUAGCCGACCUGAGAGGGUGAUCGGCCACACUGGAACUGAGACACGGUCCAGACUCCUACGGGAGGCAGCAGUAGGGAAUCUUCCGCAAUGGGCGAAAGCCUGACGGAGCAACGCCGCGUGAGUGAUGAAGGUCUUCGGAUCGUAAAACUAUGUUAUUAGGGAAGAACAUAUGUGUAAGUAACUGUGCACAUCUUGACGGUACCUAAUCAGAAAGCCACGGCUAACUACGUG